rnacentral:lncRNA from 1 species
UGCUUAUGAAGUUGGAAGCUGUAGUGACAACAACCAGGGAGCCAGAAAAGAAAUCUCACUGCUUUGUUUUGCUUCAGUUCCAAUCAAUGAACAGAAUGAAUGAAUGUCCUCACUAGAUGACUGCUUGCUAUUGGAAGAUGAAGCAGAGUUCUGAGAAAAAGGGAUCCAGCUUUUUUUUUGCCAGCAUGUGUCGACAUGCCUUAGCAUUUACUUAAAUAUAAAGAAAUACACCUUCCAAACCUUGGUGCCAGAUGAGUCAGAAGCAGUAAAGGGACCUGCAGUUUGGUCAGCUGGACCAGGUGGCGAGUCAGCUGUGGCACAGUGACAUGUCCCUGUCCCAGAGCAAGAGAGCAAUGCUUACAACCCAGGAGUCCAGACUCUGCAAAACCUUAAGGGUAUGUGUGCCUCAGUUUCCUCAGAUAGAAAAUGAAAACAAUGACUAA